CUUUGGCCACCCCAAACCUGCGUCUUGCCGACCGGCGGGCGCACGCUGCUGUCACUCCGGAGAGCGCAGCCGCCGUGCAUUGUGCUCCCUGCCGGGCAGCACCCGCCCGCCACCGAGCGCGGCCGGGGCCGGCGGGACCCGAGCACGACCCAGCCGUAAGGGCGGGGCGGGAGGGCCCCGUGCGCUGCGGUGCUUCCGUCGGACCCGUGUCCGCUUCCGCCCGGCGCUGCCGCUCUUCUCCCGGCUAGCGGCAGCGCGCUUGGACCCCGACCGACGUCUGUUAGAUGCCAAGUAAAGAAGGUAAAGAAGCCUGUCCACACGAAAGACUUACUAGCCAGUAAAGGGAUAUGCUGCCUGGAGCAGAGAUGAGGUCAGGCAAGCCAAGACAAAGUAUGUUGAAUAGGAAAGGAAAGAAAAUGCACGCAUGACACUCCCCGUGCUCUCCUCAUAAGGAAGACAGGAAAACUACAGGCAACUAUCGUGGAGAAGGCUGAGAUACUCAGCAAUUUUUUCAUCUCAGUUUUCCAUGGGACUCGUUUUGUGCCUUCUUUGGGGGUGAGGAGAAAAGGCUGGGAGAUGAGUUGGAGGCUUGAGGGCUCAGAUCUCUUUUGGGGCACCCCAACAUCCGUGGGAGAGCCAUGCUGCAGUGGAGGAGCAGGUGAGUGGGGAAUCAGGGGGAGUCAUGUUGGGUGUCCUCCCCCAGAAGGACCCAAAGCUGCCAGAAGAUUCACAGGGAGGGAUGAGUAUAGAAUACCAAAACCUGUCAAGUUUUUCUUUCUUAUAUAUAUUAACAAUCUAAAUUUAUUUAUAAAUUCAUUUUAUAAUAAGCCCUCUCUAUCUACUAUAUUAUGUACAGGAAUAUAAGAAACUCGGACAAGACGUGCAGGUUUUUGAAAAUAAUGCCAUAACGUUUUUAUAUAGGAAUGAAACAAUCAAGUGCCUGAAACCAUAAGAAAAGCUGCUGGCGCUGAAGGGAGUAGGACGCUCUGGCAAUUUUUGCGUCCAUUCUCUGCCCGCCCCUCAAGCUCGUCGCAGCCCCGGGCUGACUUCGGCGGCAGUGCAGCCACCUUGUGGGCAGAGAGCGGUACUGCAGCCCCCCGAGCCAGCGCCCUGGCCCUCGCCGCUGGGUGACAGGAGACAGGGGUGAUGACUGCUCUCAGCAAAGGCUCUUUAUUAUUCCUCUGUCAGAUUUCCCUCAGCGCUGGGCAAGGAAGGCGAGGGUUUGGAUUAGGAAUUCUGCAAGCAGGGCCUGUGUGACCACUGGCUUCCUGUGUGUGUGUCAGUGACCAAAAUCAAGAGCAAAGAUGCUGGAAAAUGCCUCUCUGGAUGUGUGCUGAGCUCUUGCUGUGGACUGUACACUAAUAUGCAUGCUAAUUGCUGCAGUUUCCCAUUCUCACUGGGGAAUUGGAAAUAAUUAUUUGGGCUGCAAAGAUGUUUUCUGAAACCUUUCCCAUUUUUCUGCCUUUUAAUGGUAGAUUUUCUCUUUCUGCCUUUGAAUUUUAUAGUGAUUUUCUGAUGUCAUUCACCUACCCAAAUUCCUUGCAGCUCCUGGGGCAGAGAGAAGCUUCUGUGGCCUACAUUCAGUGGGAGAAUGAUACUGUGUGUCCCACCUCUUUAAUUUAACUGCUUUUUAUAUCUUAGAGUGUAGACUUAGUUGAUCCUUUUUCAACUGAAUGUGGCAGGCUGAACUCACCUGAGUUACUGAACCAUAAUUUAGAUAGCUGAGUUUUUUUAAAGCAGAAAACAACCAAGCUUUUUGUCUAUAGGCUUUACUGGUAUUGCUCCUGCACAUGUUUUAUCUAGUCUGAGACUUGAACACCAGCUCUCAAAGUCCAGUUCUUUAUGAUCAUCCACAUGGCCAUGAAGGUCAAAUUAGCCAUUACUUUGAUGGUUGCCUUUGACAUUAUGGUCCUGGAGGCAAAUUUGAGAUUACUAAGAGUACAGCAGCAGUUCUGCUUCUCUUCCAUUAUUGUCUGUGUUUGAACUGGGUGGGAGUCCCGUGCACUCGUGGUUUUGAGGGUCUUGA